rnacentral:rRNA from 1 species
AACGAACGCUGGCGGCAGGCCUAACACAUGCAAGUCGAGCGAGGACUUCGGUCCUAGCGGCGGACGGGUGAGUAACGCGUGGGAACGUGCCCUUUGCUUCGGAAUAGCCCUGGGAAACUGGGACUAAUACCGGAUGAGCCCUUUGGGGGAAAGAUUUAUCGGCGAAGGAUCGGCCCGCGUUGGAUUAGGUAGUUGGUGGGGUAAUGGCCUACCAAGCCGACGAUCCAUAGCUGGUUUGAGAGGAUGAUCAGCCACACUGGGACUGAGACACGGCCCAGACUCCUACGGGAAGCAGCAGUGGGGAAUCUUAGACAAUGGGGGAAACCCUGAUCUAGCCAUGCCGCGUGAGCGAUGAAGGCCUUAGGGUUGUAAAGCUCUUUCAGCUGGGAAGAUAAUGACGGUACCAGCAGAAGAAGCCCCGGCUAACUCCGUG